GGGGCCGAUUUUGGAUUUGACAGCAAGUCUGAACGUCGCGGUCAGCAUGCCGAGUGCUUAGGGUGGCCACUCGUUAAUCAAGAAACCCAAGCCAUAACUGGCAACACUUCCUACGCGCUCGCGGCCUAAUCCUCUCGGAGGAUUCGCCUAAUUCUAGCCACAGAGUGGCAGAACGAGCUGUCCCGGUCUCGUCGUUCGGAUCCUAUCCGCGAGGCAAUGGGGCAUCAGGAGAAUGGAUCUAGCGAAAGGGGCGUCUUGACCCUGUAGCGAAAUUUUACAAGGCUAAGUCAAGGGUGGGCCGUCCACGGUCAGCCCUUGGUCGAAAACCAAUCGUGGACUGAGCAUGGAGAACGCUGCAGGCGUUGCUUGUUUGGACGGGGGUUCGACUCCCCCCGGCUCCACUU
rnacentral:tmRNA from 1 species